rnacentral:rRNA from 1 species
AUUGAACGCUGGCGGCAGGCCUAACACAUGCAAGUCGAGCGGUAACACAGGGAGCUUGCUCCUGGGUGACGAGCGGCGGACGGGUGAGUAAUGUCUGGGAAACUGCCUGAUGGCGGGGGAUAACUACUGGAAACGGUAGCUAAUACCGCAUAACGUCGCAAGACCAAAGAGGGGGAACUUCGGGCCUCUUGCCAUCAGAUUGGCCCAGAUGGGAUUAGCUAGUAGGUGGGAUAAUGGCUCACCUAGGCGACGAUCCCUAGCUGGUCUGAGAGGAUGAACAGCCACACUGGAACUGAGACACGGUCCAGACUCCUACGGGAGGCAACAGUGGGGAAUAUUGCACAAUGGGCGCAAGCCUGAUGCAGCCAUGCCGCGUGUAUGAAGAAGGCCUUCGGGUUGUAAAGUGCUUUCAGCGGGGAGGAAGGUGUUGAGGUUAAUAACCUCAGCAAUUGACGUUACCCGCAGAAGAAGCACCGGCUAACUCCGUGCCAGCAGCCGCAGUAAUAC